GAAAGGGAAGUGAUGAAAGGAAGCUGACGGCGUCUCACACAGUCAGCAUCCAGACAGCAUGAAGGCUGCAGCUGCCUCUCUGCUCCUGCUCGGUGUGUGUGUGCUGCUGCUGUCUGCACCGACUGUUUCUGCAGGUCUGAUCCUGGAGAUCCCUCCAGAUCCUGUGCCAGCAGGAAGUGAUGUCACUAUGCGCUGCAGACAGAGUAAUGGUGACAUCAUCACAGCC